CCUACGGGGGGCAGCAGUGGGGAAUAUUGGACAAUGGGCGAAAGCCUGAUCCAGCCAUGCCGCGUGUGUGAAGAAGGCCUUCGGGUUGUAAAGCACUUUCAGUGGGGAAGAAAGCCUUGGGGCUAAUACCCUCGAGGAAGGACAUCACCCACAGAAGAAGCACCGGCUAACUCCGUGCCAGCAGCCGUGGUAAUACGGAGGGUGCGAGCGUUAAUCGGAAUUACUGGGCGUAAAGCGCGCGUAGGCGGUCUGAUAAGCCGGUUGUGAAAGCCCCGGGCUCAACCUGGGAACGGCAUCCGGAACUGUCAGGCUAGAGUGCAGGAGAGGAAGGUAGAAUUCCCGGUGUAGCGGUGAAAUGCGUAGAGAUCGGGAGGAAUACCAGUGGCGAAGGCGGCCUUCUGGACUGACACUGACGCUGAGGUGCGAAAGCGUGGGUAGCAAACAGGAUUAGAUACCCCUGUAGUC
rnacentral:rRNA from 1 species